rnacentral:rRNA from 1 species
CCUACGGGGGGCAGCAGUGGGGAAUAUUGCACAAUGGGCGCAAGCCUGAUGCAGCCAUGCCGCGUGUGUGAAGAAGGCCUUCGGGUUGUAAAGCACUUUCAGCGGGGAGGAAGGCGGUGAGGUUAAUAACCUCAUCGAUUGACGUUACCCGCAGAAGAAGCACCGGCUAACUCCGUGCCAGCAGCCGCGGUAAUACGGAGGGUGCAAGCGUUAAUCGGAGUUACUGGGCGUAAAGCGCACGCAGGCGGUCUGUCAAGUCGGAUGUGAAAUCCCCGGGCUCAACCUGGGAACUGCAUUCGAAACUGGCAGGCUAGAGUCUUGUAGAGGGGGGUAGAAUUCCAGGUGUAGCGGUGAAAUGCGUAGAGAUCUGGAGGAAUACCGGUGGCGAAGGCGGCCCCCUGGACAAAGACUGACGCUCAGGUGCGAAAGCGUGGGGAGCAAACAGGAUUAGAUACCCGAGUAGUC